GCAAUGCAUUGCAAUAGGACAGUGAGAUCCCACCAGGAAACCAGUCCAACCUCCUCGAGUCUCCUAAGCACUCCACAGUUGGGGAUCUUCGUCCACGGACUGCCUACAAGCCUCUGCUGUGGUAGGCAGUUCGACUUGCUGUUCUUUGCCUUAAGUGUUUGUAGGAAUGCAAUGAUUCUAUUUAAGAUGUCAGAGCGUGUGGUGUGUGGGAGGGCGGGCCCCUUCCAGAUCAUUGAAGAAUGCAGCAUCGUGUUGCAGACCAGCCUAAUGCCCUUGUGCUGGAACCAAGAGGGGUGGGACCUGGUGGUGACCUCUCUGUAGCACCAGUGUUGUAAAAGUGUGUGUAGCAGGGAGUGACAGUGCAUGUCUACAACGUGAACACUCAGGAGGCUAAGGCGCUUGUGUGCGUGAUUAGUGCAAGGCCAGUUACCACUACAUAGCAAAAUCUCAAAACAGAAAUGAAAAACAAGAAAAGC
rnacentral:lncRNA from 1 species